CUCUAAACAACUAAAUGGUUCCUCUCUUCCUCACUCAUCAGUUCAUCUCAUCCUCUGCUCAACGGUUCAUUUUUCGUUCCUCUUCAUUCACUCGGAUCCGUCGUAAAUUUGAGGGUGAAUGUAGAAGGUGAUGAGAUUCCAUUGACAAAGUUGCCUCCGGUUGAGGCUCACCAGCCAUCCUCCUCCAACAAUUUAUAAUGUUCUUGUUUUAAAUUCAAGUUGUAAUUUGUGCCUUUGAGGCAACCUAAUUUGGUCUGUAAAACUAUUAAUACUUUCUGCAAACCUAUUAGGGUGUGCUAACUUUAAUGGCACCUUUAACUCAA